GAUGAACGCUGGCGGCGUGCUUAAUACAUGCAAGUCGAGCGAACGGACGAGAAGUUGCUGUCUUUGUCGAUAGCCGAACGCGUGUGUGUAACGCGUGGAAAAUCCACUUCACACACGGAUAAAACUUGGGGACACGGGCUCUUAUAGCGGAUAAUAUUUUGCACCGUAUGGUUCAAUGGUGAAAGACUGGCUUUCUGUUACGCAUACAUGGUUCCGCGCUGCAUUAGCUAGUUGGUAAGGUAAAGGCUUACCAAGGCAACGAUGCAUAGCCGACCUGAGAGGGUGAUCGCCGGCACUGGAGCUGAGACGGCGUCCUGGCUCCUACGAGAGGCAGCAGUAGGGAAUCUGCCGCAAUGGGCGAGAGCAUGACGGAACGGCGGCACGUGAGAGAUGAAGGUCUUGGGAUCGUAAAACUCUGUUAUGGGGGAAAAACAUAUGUGUAAGUAACUGUGCACAACUUGACGGUACCUGCUCAGAAAGCCACGGCUAACUACGUG
rnacentral:rRNA from 1 species